rnacentral:lncRNA from 1 species
CCUCUCCCAUUUGUCUGUGUAUCUCGAAGCGGUCAUUCCACAUUGCAACGGUGGAUUUUGUAAAAAAAAUGAAUCAUUCUUUUCAAUUCCCAAAAAAAUUAAUACAAUAAAGAUCUAAUCAAAUUAUUUUUAUAAAUAAAUAUUUUUAUAUAAUAAAAAUUAUUGUUAAGAUGAUCCAUCGAUCGAAUCAACCGUUCAAAAUGACUUGAUGAA